GAAGUGAUGUGAAUAGAGGAAUAAGAAGGAAAUAGUUUGCUUAAGACAGACCUAAGGACUCUGGUCACAAGGAAGCAAAGAUGCAGUUUUGACAUGAGAACCAUGGAUGAUUCCCAUCUUUUCCUGACUUCCUUUGUUUUCCAGAUUUUCUAUAAUGAUGUAAUUUUUUAUUACACUACAUUGUGUAAUACUUUAUAACUGACAAAGAGAAUGAGAAACUGGUUGUUGUCACAUAAGCCACGUUACUUGACUACUUAAAUAUGGCUGUGAUGAACAGCUCCAGUCUCUGGCAGAGGAAGCUAUUUUCAGAGUCACUCGUUCAUUCAACAACUGUGAGACACUGAAAGUACACUUAUG
rnacentral:lncRNA from 1 species